UACGGAGGGUGCGAGCGUUGUCCGGAAUCACUGGGCGUAAAGGGCGCGUAGGUGGCGCCGCAAGUCAACGGUGAAAGCUCGACGCUUAACGUCGAGUCGGCCGUCGAGACUGCGGGGCUCGAGCACUGUAGAGGCUCAUGGAAUUCCGGGUGUAGCGGUGGAAUGCGUAGAGAUCCGGAAGAACACCGGUGGCGAAGGCGGUGAGCUGGACAGUUGCUGACACUGAGGCGCGACAGCGUGGGGAGCAAACAGGG
rnacentral:rRNA from 1 species